rnacentral:rRNA from 1 species
CGAUGGGCCGACGUCGCAUGCUCCCGGCCGCCAUGGUUAGAGUUUGAUCAUGGCUCAGAUUGAACGCUGGCGGAAUGCCUUACACAUGCAAGUCGAACGGCAGCACGGGAGCAAUCCUGGUGGCGAGUGGCGAACGGGUGAGUAAUACAUCGGAACGUGCCCAAUCGUGGGGGAUAACGUAGCGAAAGCUACGCUAAUACCGCAUACGAUCUACGGAUGAAAGCAGGGGAUCGCAAGACCUUGCGCGAAUGGAGCGGCCGAUGGCAGAUUAGGUAGUUGGUGGGGUAAAGGCUCACCAAGCCUUCGAUCUGUAGCUGGUCUGAGAGGACGACCAGCCACACUGGGACUGAGACACGGCCCAGACUCCUACGGGAGGCAGCAGUGGGGAAUUUUGGACAAUGGGCGCAAGCCUGAUCCAGCAAUGCCGCGUGCAGGAAGAAGGCCUUCGGGUUGUAAACUGCUUUUGUACGGAACGAAACGGUCUGCUUUAAUACAGUGGGCUAAUGACGGUACCGUAAGAAUAAGCACCGGCUAACUACGUGCCAGCAGCCGCGGUAAUACGUAGGGUGCGAGCGUUAAUCGGAAUUACUGGGCGUAAAGCGUGCGCAGGCGGUUAUAUAAGACAGUUGUGAAAUCCCCGGGCUCACCCUGGGAAUUGCAUCUGUGACUGUAUAGCUAGAGUACGGUAGAGGGGGGUGGAUUUCCACGUGUAGCAGUGAAAUGCGUAAAGAUGUGGGAAGAACACCGAUGGGCGAAAGGCACCCCCCUGUGU